rnacentral:rRNA from 1 species
CAGUCGCCGCGGUAAUACAGAGGGUGCAAGCGUUAAUCGGAAUUACUGGGCGUAAAGCGCGCGUAGGUGGUUUGUUAAGUUGGAUGUGAAAGCCCCGGGCUUAACCUGGGAACUGCAUCCAAAACUGGCAAGCUAGAGUACGGUAGAGGGUGGUGGAAUUUCCUGUGUAGCGGUGAAAUGCGUAGAUAUAGGAAGUAACACCAGUGGCGAAGGCGACCACCUGGACUGAUACUGACACUGAGGUGCGAAAGCGUGGGGAGCAAACAGGAUUAGAUACCCCUGUAGUCCCUGUCUCUUAUAC